rnacentral:rRNA from 1 species
UUUUGAACCGCAUGGUUCAAAAGUGAAAGACGGUCUUGCUGUCACUUAUAGAUGGAUCCGCGCUGCAUUAGCUAGUUGGUAAGGUAACGGCUUACCAAGGCAACGAUGCAUAGCCGACCUGAGAGGGUGAUCGGCCACACUGGAACUGAGACACGGUCCAGACUCCUACGGGAGGCAGCAGUAGGGAAUCUUCCGCAAUGGGCGAAAGCCUGACGGAGCAACGCCGCGUGAGUGAUGAAGGUCUUCGGAUCGUAAAACUCUGUUAUUAGGGAAGAACAUAUGUGUAAGUAACUGUGCACAUCUUGACGGUACCUAAUCAGAAAGCCACGGCUAACUACGUGCCAGCAGCCGCGGUAAUACGUAGGUGGCAAGCGUUAUCCGGAAUUAUUGGGCGUAAAGCGCGCGUAGGCGGUUUUUUAAGUCUGAUGUGAAAGCCCACGGCUCAACCGUGGAGGGUCAUUGGAAACUGGAAAACUUGAGUGCAGAAGAGGAAAGUGGAAUUCCAUGUGUAGCGGUGAAAUGCGCAGAGAUAUGGAGGAACACCAGUGGCGAAGGCGACUUUCUGGUCUGUAACUGACGCUGAUGUGCGAAAGCGUGGGGAUCAAACAGGAUUAGAUACCCUGGUAGUCCACGCCGUAAACGAUGAGUGCUAAGUGUUAGGGGGUUUCCGCCCCUUAGUGCUGCAGCUAACGCAUUAAGCACUCCGCCUGGGGAGUACGACCGCAAGGUUGAAACUCAAAGGAAUUGACGGGGACCCGCACAAGCGGUGGAGCAUGUGGUUUAAUUCGAAGCAACGCGAAGAACCUUACCAAAUCUUGACAUCCUUUGACAACUCUAGAGAUAGAGCCUUCCCCUUCGGGGGACAAAGUGACAGGUGGUGCAUGGUUGUCGUCAGCUCGUGUCGUGAGAUGUUGGGUUAAGUCCCGCAACGAGCGCAACCCUUAAGCUUAGUUGCCAUCAUUAAGUUGGGCACUCUAAGUUGACUGCCGGUGACAAACCGGAGGAAGGUGGGGAUGACGUCAAAUCAUCAUGCCCCUUAUGAUUUGGGCUACACACGUGCUACAAUGGACAAUACAAAGGGCAGCGAAACCGCGAGGUCAAGCAAAUCCCAUAAAGUUGUUCUCAGUUCGGAUUGUAGUCUGCAACUCGACUACAUGAAGCUGGAAUCGCUAGUAAUCGUAGAUCAGCAUGCUACGGUGAAUACGUUCCCGGGUCUUGUACACACCGCCCGUCACACCACGAGAGUUUGUAACACCCGAAGCCGGUGGAGUAACCUUUUAGGAGCUAGCCGUCGAAGGUGGGACAAAUGAUUGGGGUGAAGUCGUAACAAGGUAGCCGUAUCGGAAGGUGCGGCUGGAUCACCU